UCUGCGAUUGGAAGAAAGGCCCAUCCCUCGCUGUAAAUUUACAUCAGGGGCGAGGUAAUUUUACCUUUUAUGCGUUUACUCAGAACACAGCCCACCUCUCCGUCCUUUUUAGAAAGCUGCGAACGGUUUUGGGACUAACGACGGCGAACGGCGGCGUGGUGCUCAACGUUGCCAGGUUGGCUAGGUCUUGGGCGGCGCCCGUGGUUGGUGAUGGCGGUGCAGGCUUAGCGGCGUGGUACUCGGUGGCAGUUGGUGGCCUCGGCGGUGCGGUGAGCUCUCUGGUUCCUCGGUGACGGGCAACGCAGCGGGUUAUAUCGACUGCGACCGCUUCGUGCUCUGCUCCGGCCACGACGGCGCCGCUCCAUCUCGCGAACUAUGACGGCAUCACGCCUGCUGUGGCUUAAGAUGAGCUCAAGCCUGAAUCCUUUAGUUUAGAUCGUAUUACUUUUCUCAGAUUCCGUGGUCCAGUUUUGGUUUGCGUUGCUCCAAACCUAGCACUUGCAGUUGCUUGUUUCAGAAAUCCAAGUUAUAUGUCAGAUUUCGGCCGUCGAGGUAAAUCCUUCCAGCUGAUGCAUAUUAUCAUUAUGUGCUUAAUUACUACAUGUGCAGUCGUCUCAUAAUUAUUGCGACCGUAAUUUUUAUGGAGUUUUCCUCUAUUCAGCCUUUUUAAUUUCCUUCAGAAAUACAUUCAGCUUGUUUGGGAGGGUACACUUAUAAGGAUUUGUGUAUAAAAGGUUAAUGUUCUAAAGACGCUCUUGCUGCAAUACAACGUUGGCAUGUAAUGUGCUUAGCUAUAUUACUAACCAAUGACUAGUUAUGCAUCUUUUCAUGUGAAAAAAAGAGAAAAACAUGGCUUACUUUCUGCAUGCGUGUGGCCAAGGCAUAAUUUCUGAUCCAUCAUAGAAUGGAUAUUUUUUCUUCUAAUCAUGUGAGGCGCCUUUGUUGCUACCAAAAUAGAAUACAUAUAUCAACCAUUUACUACUAAAACAAUAAUCAUAUUUAUCGACUUUCUACUUUGUACUGAAGCUUACCAAUUUAACAUCUGUUUUGGUACAUUCUUGAAACAAACGUAAUUUUAUGUUUCUUGCCCAGCCAUUGUUUCUAUACGGAUCCAUAUCAACAUUUUUUAAUUCAGAUUCAUAUAAACUGUAAGGCAUUGCUUUUGGUCUUCUUUAACAUGUUUUCUUGUCUUUCAGAGGAAUCCACUCAAAUAUGACUUAUUUGUUUCCUUUCACCUUUUACUACUCUACACUGCCAGAUUUAUUUAUUUUCCAUUUUUUACUUAUUUAUCUACAGAUUAUCUGCAUGAUUUUCCAUCAGUUGCAUAACCAGUCUUCUGUUGAGUAUUUUGAUUUUGUCAUUGGGUAGCUGCAAGCGAGUCGUUACUGCUGAAACUCUACCUAGAAUCUAUAUUGUUUUGGCAGGCAAUGGUACCCAGGUAGAUGGACUAGCUGCUUGCUCCGUGCCCGUUCUAGUGCACGCUACAUCAUAUAUAGAUGUACUCCCUCCGUUCGGAAUUACUUGUCUCGGAAAUGGAUGUAUCUAAAUCUAAAAUACGUCUAGAUACGUUCAUUUCUGCGACAAGUAAUUCCGAACGGAGGGAGUACAUAGUUCAGGGAAUGAGAAGUCAAUACAUGCAGGACCGAAUCUGGAGGUAGGCACCAAGACCCAAUAAAGAACAACUCCUGAUGGGUUGUAAUCCAUCGCCUCCUCCAGCAACUCCUGCUGAUCAGCAGUAAUGAGCAGCCACGGCGGAGGAAGCCCCAACAAAUGGAAUGGCGCUUCAACCACACUUUGUGACGUGCAAGUGUCAGCCGCCUGCAAAAUGAUGCUCUUGGCACAGAACUGUGAAAAUUAGAGCUUUUGGGGGGUUCCUGGGUUAGUAGUGUUGCGCUUUUGAUCCGUUCCAUCUCUUAGUGUGGUGAAUUUAAUGAUUUUUAGCCAUUAAAAUAUAUCAGAACGAAUUAUGAUGCAUUUGAUUGUGUCAAUUACAUGGGGACUGCAGAGUAGUAUGAGUAUCAUUAGUGUAAUUUGUACAGCAAAAAUAGUUCGUAUCGUCAAGACAAUGUACUUACAUGUUAACUCCCUCUCA